rnacentral:rRNA from 1 species
CCUACGGGAGGCAGCAGUGAGGAAUAUUGGACAAUGGGCGCAAGCCUGAUCCAGCCAUGCCGCGUGCAGGAAGACGGUCCUAUGGAUUGUAAACUGCUUUUGUACGGGAAGAAACACUCCUUCGUGAAGGAGCUUGACGGUACCGUAAGAAUAAGGAUCGGCUAACUCCGUGCCAGCAGCCGCGGUAAUACGGAGGAUCCAAGCGUUAUCCGGAAUCAUUGGGUUUAAAGGGUCCGUAGGCGGUUUAGUAAGUCAGUGGUGAAAGCCCAUCGCUCAACGGUGGAACGGCCAUUGAUACUGCUAGACUUGAAUUAUUAGGAAGUAACUAGAAUAUGUAGUGUAGCGGUGAAAUGCUUAGAGAUUACAUGGAAUACCAAUUGCGAAGGCAGGUUACUACUAAUGGAUUGACGCUGAUGGACGAAAGCGUGGGUAGCGAACAGGAUUAGAUACCCUGGUAGUCCACGCCGUAAACGAUGGAUACUAGCUGUUGGGGGCAACUUCAGUGGCUAAGCGAAAGUGAUAAGUAUCCACCUGGGGAGUACGUUCGCAAGAAGUAGAAGUUACGAAGUAAGUUAGUUAGGCGNGAGAGNGCGAGACGACGACGAGGAGGAGG